rnacentral:rRNA from 1 species
CCUACGGGAGGCUGCAGUGGGGAAUAUUGCACAAUGGGCGCAAGCCUGAUGCAGCCAUGCCGCGUGUGUGAAGAAGGCCUUCGGGUUGUAAAGCACUUUCAGCGGGGAGGAAGGCGUUAAGGUUAAUAACCUUGGCGAUUGACGUUACCCGCAGAAGAAGCACCGGCUAACUCCGUGCCAGCAGCCGCGGUAAUACGGAGGGUGCAAGCGUUAAUCGGAAUUUCUGGGCGUAAAGCGCACGCAGGCGGUCUGUCAAGUCGGAUGUGAAAUCCCCGGGCUCAACCUGGGAACUGCAUUCGAAACUGGCAGGCUAGAGUCUUGUAGAGGGGGGUAGAAUUCCAGGUGUAGCGGUGAAAUGCGUAGAGAUCUGGAGGAAUACCGGUGGCGAAGGCGGCCCCCUGGACAAAGACUGACGCUCAGGUGCGAAAGCGUGGGGAGCAAACAGGAUUAGAUACCCCUGUAGUC